AGAGUUUGAUCAUGGCUCAGAUUGAACGCUGGCGGCAUGCUUAAUACAUGCAAGUCGAGCGGUAACAGAUUCUUCGGAAUGCUGACGAGUGGCGGACGGGUGAGUAAUACAUAGGAAUCUGCCCAUGUAGUGGGGGACAACUUGGGGAAACUCAAGCUAAUACCGCAUAAUUCCUACGGGAUAAAGAGGGCCACUGCUUGCAAGCUCUUGCUACUGGAUGAGCCUAUGUCGGAUUAGUUAGUUGGUAAGGUAAUGGCUUACCAAGACAGCGAUCCGUAGCUGGUUUGAGAGGAUGAUCAGCCACACUGGGACUGAGACACGGCCCAGACUCCUACGGGAGGCAGCAGUAGGGAGUAUUGGACAAUGGGCGCAAGCCUGAUCCAGCAAUGCCGCGUGUGUGAAGAAGGCCUGCGGGUUGUAAAGCACUUUCAAUUGGGAAGAAAGAUUAUGAGUUAAUACCUUAUAAUAUUGACG
rnacentral:rRNA from 1 species